GGGGUUCUAGCUCAUCGGUAGAGCGCUCCCUUAGCAGUUGCAUUACGCGCUUUCAAAAUCACAUGGGAGAAGUAAUGGGUUCGACUCCUAUGUACUCCA